AUGGAUCCAUGGUGGCACCCCCGCCUCCCGAUGUGUGCUGGAGCGAGGUGGCCGGCGAGCUGCCUCCUCCCAGCGUGGUCAGGCUCCAUGGCCAGCGGAAGGACAUCGCGGUGCUGCCGGGCUGCUCGGCUCCGCCCUAUCCUCCACAACCAUAGCCUUCGACGAGACUCCAGGCAACGGGAUCGAGCCAUCCCAUGUCAGAUCCCACCGCCAUGUUCCCUGCAGGUCAGUUGGAUCGCUGAUGCAGUACCCAACCAGCUCAUCCCUUGGCCGUGCAGUUCGCCGUGGACCACUGGUUUUUCGGCUUCGUCCGGUCCAGCCACCUCCAAAAAUUUGGUGUGA
rnacentral:rRNA from 1 species